rnacentral:lncRNA from 1 species
GACGGGUUAAAGAAGGAUUUUUAAGCCUUGAGACAUGGAUUGUGUAUGUGUGCCAUUCAGAGGGUGAAUGGGCAAGACAAUAUAAGUGCCUUUGAACGGGGUAUGGUAGUAUGUGCCAGGUGUACCGGUUUGAAUGUGUCAAGAAUUUUCAAGCCAACAUUGGUCUAGCAUCCCUGUGGAUCGUUUGACACCUUGUAGAGUUCAUGCCCCGACAAAUUGAGGCUGUUCUGAGGGCAAAAAGGGUGCAACUCAAUAUUAGGAAAGGUGUUCCUAAUGUUUUGUACACUCAGUGUACGUUUUCCACAAAAUUGAAAAUGAAUUCAGGUUCAAAUUGAUUUACCUGCAUCAGGAUACAUUGUUGGACCCAUCUCCUCUACAUCUAUCUCCUCCUCUUCACCACUCACUUCCUCAGUCCCUGCGUAGCCCAACGUCUGGUGGACCUCGUCAACCACAUCCAACUCCUCGCUGGAGAUCUCCAUCUCCAAAUACCCAUCCUCCAUUUUCUCCUCCACCUCUUGGAUGAUCACACUUCUCCUAUAUGCCUCCACCACGGAUCCUUUUCCUUUUUCGGUCUUCUUGUUUGUCUCUGUAGACGAGUCUGUUUCCCUCUCUCUGUUCUCCUUGGUAACCAGAUCUCUUCCUUCCUUGUUGCCUUUGUCGGUCCGUUGAGGAUCCACCAUUUCCUUUGUCCUUGUCAUCGAUAACAUUGACAAGGUAGCCAGCUCCUCUUGGAGUUCGAAAAAGUCUCCUGACGCAUCCACGUUUUCCCCGCCUAAAACGUUUUCUGUGUUCUCAAAAUGUUCUCUAUCCUCAACGUUUUCUCUUUCAGUGUCUUUGUAGAUGAGAUCUUGAUACUCCGUCUCCUGUCCACAAGUGCUGCUGUUGUGUCCUCCAUCUUUUUCCUCUGGAUGGUCGCUCUCCGUUCGGUUGGUCUGAUCGUAAUUUUCAACGGUUGGUCGAAUGGCUGACUCUCUUUCUAGAGACUGGGAAGGACUUCUGUUUUUGUUCAUCAGUCUUGAUUCAUUUUGACCGCUGUCACUUUCAUUGGGUUUCAAUAAUUUUCUUUCACUUUGUUUCUGUCCUUCAGUUUCACUUUCUUUUUCUUUUGUCUCCUUGCUUUUGGUGGACUUCCUCGUCUUUUGGUGCCUGUGCUUCAGGAGUUCUUGGAACUUCUUGAGAGACACAGUGGGUGCCCGACCCUUGGAGGGGGUCCGCUUGACAGCAGGGGGUCUCAAUUGGUCUCUGUCUGAUUCAGUCUCUCCAGAUCUUUCUGGACUGGAGUUCUGUGGCUGACCAGACGGCUGGGGUUGCAGAAUGGUUCCCGUUCCUGAACAGUUGGAAGGAACUUGCUCUUCAUGGGUACUGGGGGAAGUUGUCUGCGAGCUAGGCUUCUGAGCAACUGUUUUAGAUUUAGACAGCACAAGUAGUCUCUGGAACAACUCUGCUCUCUCUCCUUUGCCAUGUCCCUCCCUGAGCCUGACCCUUUUCCUGUACUUCUUUCGCUUGUCGUCCUUUACCUGUGGUUCCCCUCCUCCUUUUUCCUUUACCUGUGGUUCCCCUCCUCCUUUUUCCUUUACCUGUGGUUCCCCUCCUCCUUUUUCCUUUACCUGUGGUUCCCCUCCUCCUUUUUCCUUUACCUGUGGUUCCCCUCCUCCUUUUUCCUUUACCUGUGGUUCUCCUCCUCCUUUUACCUGUGGUUCCCCUCCUCCUUUUUCCUUUACCUGUGGUUCCCCUCCUCCUUUUUCCUUUACCUGUGGUUCCCCUCCUCCUUUUUCCUUUACCUGUGGUUCUCCUCCUCCUUUUACCUGUGGUUCUCCUCCUCCUUUUUCCUUUACCUGUGGUUCUCCUCCUCCUUUUACCUGUGGUUCUCCUCCUCCUUUUACCUGUGGUUCUCCUCCUCCUCCUUUCUCCUUUACCUGUGGUUCUCCUCCUCCUUUCUCCUUUCCCUGAGGUUCUCUUCCAUUUUUCUUUCUCUUCGGUUCUCCUCCUCCUCUUUCCUUUCUCUUCGGUUCUCCUCUUUCCCUUCUCUUCGGUUCUCCUCUUUCCUGUCCCCGCGGUUCUCCUCUUUCCUGUCCCCGCGGUUCUCCUCUUUCCUGUCCCCGCGGUUCUCCUCCUCCCUUUCCCCGCGGUUCUCCUCCUCCCUUUCCCCGCGGUUCUCCUCCUCCCUUUCCCCGCGGUUCUCCUCCUCCCUUUCCCUGCGGUUCUCCUCUUUCCUUUCCCCGCGGUUCUCCUCCUCCCUUUCCCUGCGGUUCUCCUCUUUCCUUUCCCCUCGGUUCUCCUCCUCUUUCCUUUUUGUACUCAACAGCUUCCGCGUCAUGGAUGCCCGUUGUCAUGGCACUGGUGGGAAAUAAACCACCAGCCUGGGAAACCUGUUUUUUUCCUGGUCGUAUCUUACGGGGUCUACCACGUUUCCGUUUCGGGGGUGGUGUUGGUGGGAUUUGGAGCAGUCCAACUGCUUUGGCCAGAGCUUGAAACCUGGAGAAGGAGGGACUGGGAGUUUCAGAAGACAUGUUCGACUGCUUGUCUUCUUGGUGAUGUUUUACUGGAGAGCAGCUCCUGGUUGUGGUCCAAACGUUAGGAGGGCGUUUCACAUCUCGAUCCCUGGCUCGGAGCACCCUUACUGGGUUCCCCAUUUCCCUUCCCAGCAUCUUUGUUCCUUCUGGAGGUCGGUUGGCUUCCUCACCAAGGCUGGACAAAGACUGUGUGGAGGUGUUGGAAAGGUACCGUCCUAAUCUUUCGCUCGCUAAGACAUUGUUGGUUGACAGACUGACAGAGCAGAGACUUAUUUUCACUUGUCCAUUCUCAGUCUUCGUUCCGUCGUUGAUUUUCACCCUUUCAGUCCUCACUAAAGGACUAUCUUCUAUCUUUGUAGAGACGUUGUGUUUCCUCUUUUUCUGAGGAGGCUCUGGGGUCUCACUGUCCUCUGAUUGUUCCUGCUCCACUUUCACACCCUCUGUUCUCCUCACACAGAUUCUCUUCCUGUGGUGACUCCAGGUUUCAUCCUCCUGUCUCCUCUGGGUCUUUGCAUUUGGUUUCUCAAUCCUUGGCCCCUGCUCCGGCUCCAAACCCUCCUUUAUCCUCACACGGAUUCUCUUUUUGUUACUGUGGGGCUUCGAGGUUUCAUCUCCCUCUCUUCUCUUCGCCUUUGGUUUCUCAAGCCUUCGCCCCGUAGUGGUGGUCGCGACCUUCUUCCUUUUCCUCUCCUCCUCGUCCUCUUUUCCGGUCAGUCUUGCGUUGUUGCUAAUGCUAGCCUUGUCUUGACCAUCAGUCAUCUGCUCGGAGUUGUUGUUGGAUUCCCACGGCAGACCAAGGCAUUUUUUAGAUUCACACAGAUUUCCUGGGGAGCGUGGAGAAUGUAUCAUGGAGCUCAGUGGAAAUUGUAGUCUUCUCGGAGUGUGGCAGAGCCAAGGUGGUAGCUUUGACAGCUGAGGGAUUCUAUGGAAUGGAGUUACAGGAUGCCGGAAUGGGGAUUUAAGGAAGGGUUUCGCCGGAGAUGGUGGGGGUGAGGGUUCCGGUGAAUUUAAGGGUGAGAGACAUUUUGGCAGGCAUAGCUCUUCCCAAUAUGGAGGAGGAGAUUGGGAAGGCUGGGUUUCACUUCCUCGAGACAGCAGUGAAAGGAGUUCUGGGAAACGUAGUCCUCUCCCGGGAGAGACAUCUGGUGGGCAUGCUGGGUGUUGUGGUUCAGAAGCAUCAGUUUCAGAGGGGGGGAGGAAACCAGGGGUGACAACCAUUGGUUCCUCUUCUUGUGGAACUUCCUGAUUCGUACUGGCCUGACUCAGACUCUGACUUGGAAUGGCCUCUCCAUUCACACGACUUGGCGUGGUCCCUCCAUUCACCUGACUUGGAGUAGUGUCUCCAUUCACCUGACUUGGAGUAGUGUCUCCAUUCACCUGACUUGGAGUAGUGUCUCCAUUCACCUGACUUGGAGUAGUGUCUCCAUUCACCUGACUUGGAGUAGUGUCUCCAUUCACCUGACUUGGAGUGGUCUCUCCAUUAGUUGACAGACAAUCCGCAGAGGACAGAUUACAAACAUGUUCUCUGUAUGUCGACGGAACGCCCGUCUGGGCAGAAGAACCCUUCCAGCACCCUGGAUCUGGGUCCUCUUCCCCUGUGUAAAGUAGAGAGGCCUGGCUCUGAGGAAGGGACUGGUGGUGGUGGGGAGGCCUUGGUGAAGAGCCUGAGUGGACUGGUAUGAUGCUGCUGCUGCCACCACAUCCAACCACCAGGCUCUUGGAGUUCCGGUUCUGGAGUUCCUGGUUUUGAGAGUUCUGGAACCGGAUCAGGAGUUCCUGGUGGUUCUUGGCGUUCUCAGAGGAGCACUGGAGUACACCUGAACAAUAGGAGGCCCAGUCAGAGGAGUAAUCAUUACAGGAGAAGUGGGGGUGAGGAUGAGAGAGGGGGGUGGAGGGGUGAUAGGUGGAGCAUUGGUGAGGGGUCAGAGGUUGUGGGUCCAGGUAAAGGUCAGGGGUAACGGUGCAGGAGGUUGUCGUGGUGACGAAAUGGGAGGAGGUGAUGGAGUGGAAGGCUUGAGAGAGAAAGACAGAGAGAGAGGUCAGGCUGGUGGUAGCUAAGUGUAGGUGCUAAUAGCGAUCUAUUGUAAUGGAUGACACUGUGAGAUAAGUGCAAGCAAUGCCGUGAGGAGUUGAGGAAGGGCAGGCAUUUAAAAUGUACAUGACUUAUCAUACAUAGACUAAGUCAGUGUUUCCCAACUCUGGUCCUCCAGUACCCCCAACAGCACAACUGCUUCUGCUUGUCAACUAACCAUCAAGCCUUUGACAAGUUGAAUCAGGCGUUUUUAUCUGGGGCUUCAACACAAAUGUGUACUGGAGGACCAGAGUUGGGCUGCUGGGGGUACUGGAGGACCAGAGUUGGGCUGCUGGGGUUACUGGAGGACCAGAGUUGGGCUGCUGGAAGACUGGAGUUGGGGUUACUGGAAGACUGGAGUUGGGCUGCUGGAAGACUGGAGUUGGGCUGCUGGGGGUACUGGAAGACUGGAGUUGGGGUUACUGGAAGACUGGAGUUGGGGUUACUGGAAGACUGGAGUUGGGCUGCUGGGGGUACUGGAAGACUGGAGUUGGGCUGUUGGGGUACUGGAAGACUGGAGUUGGGCUGCUGGGGAUACUGGAAGACUGGAGUUGGGCUGCUGGGGGUACUGGAAGACUGGAGUUGGGCUGCUGGGGGUACUGGAAGACUGGAGUUGGGCUGCUGGGGGUACAGGAAGACUGGAGUUGGGCUGCUGGGGAUACUGGAAGACUGGAGUUGGGCUGCUGGGGGUACUGGAAGACUGGAGUUGGGCUGCUGGGGGUACUGGAAGACUGGAGUUGGGCUGCUGGGGGUACUGGAAGACUGGAGUUGGGCUGCUGGGGGUACUGGAAGACUGGAGUUGGGCUGCUGGGGAUACUGGAAGACUGGAGUUGGGCUGCUGGGGGUACUGGAAGACUGGAGUUGGGCUGCUGGAAGACUGGAGUUGGGCUGCUGGGGGUACUGGAAGACUGGAGUUGGGCUGCUGGGGGUACUGGAAGACUGGAAUACCGGAGGCUGGGGCAAGGCGAGCUGCGGUUCAUGUGCUGGGUGUGGGGUCGGAUGGUGGGUGGAGCUGCAGUGGUUGAGGGAGGUUGACUGGGCGGUGGUGGUUUUGGACGUGGAGUGGGGGCGGGAUCGGGGUGGAGGGGAGAUGUAGAGAUCUGGUGGAGGGGUGAGGAAAGCUGUGUCGAGGGGAGAGCACCGGGGAGGGCUGGGGACUG